CACACACACACCCAUGCAGAUGGCUGGGAAUGGAAGGAAAGGACAACUUUUUCUGAAACCCUCUAAAGAAGAACAGAAUAUCAGCAAAAAGAACAGGAGUACUUGUGUCACCUUAGAGACUAAUUUAUUUGAGCAUCAGCUUUCCUGGGCUACAGCCCACUUCACGGGAUGCAUGCAGUGGAAAAUACACUAGGAAGAUAGAGAGAGAGAGAGAACAUGAAGGACUGUUAGUCUGCAGAUACAGACUAACACAGCUGCUAUCUGAAACAAAGGGUAUCAGUUAUUCUGAAGGACAAUUUCCAAAAACACUCUCUCCUGCUUUUAUUUAAAAGUUACUCUUUCUAUAUUCAUUUGCCAUUUAUUAUGGUAGAAUGGGCUGCAAUAGGAGAUCAGGUUGUUGAAGUAUAUGUUGGAAGGGAAGAAAAGGCUGGAAAAGCAUGAAGGACCGUUGCUGAUUCUUUAUUGUUAUUUAUCGUCAGGUUGAUAACAGGCACAGUGAUGAGUAGUUGGACCAAUACAACUGUCCACUGGGAAUUUUUACGAAACUCAUCCAGUUAAGCUGACUGUGAAACCAAAAGUUGCAAAAUUGUUGCCCACAAUCAGCAGCCUUGUAUGCCUUACCUGAUUGAUUCCAAAGGCUCUUACAGUCAAAUCUUGCACUUCUUACUUAACCAAUUAAGCACUCCUAAGUACACCAUGCUGUGAGACAGACUCAGGGAUUCAGACAUCUUACCUAAGAUAUCUUCUAAGCACACCUACAAACACACUAAAUUAGUCCAUGUGAAUGCCAGUGUCCUGGAGGAGUGGAGACAUGGAUUAUAAAUGUUUUUUUCUUCCCCAGUGUUUUUGAUUAAAGGAAAAAACCAAAUAACCACAGUUUUCGGCAGCUGAAGAGUACUUUGAGUUAGGAAGGAAGCGUCAGUAAAUUGACCUUGACAGACAUUUAUUCAGGAGUUCUUAAAAGUACAAGGAUUGUAAAUCUUAAUGUCCGUUUUCUCUUGCUAGACUGCUUUUUUCAGGAAAGGUGAAUGUUCUGCAUUUUGCUGGAGUGGGAGAGGGGUGUAGAAGGUUCAACUAGUCUGCCCACAAAACAGGAUUGAAUGGUCCAGUUAAAAUGUUAGAGACCAGCAAAUCUAUUUUACUACUACUGCAGCGCUGCUCUUUCGCUAUAUUUCGUACCACUAUGAUCAGUCUAAGGUUACCUGUUUCAUGUGUCAGGACACCCCUCCCGUCCCCCUUUUUUUUUAAAGGAGCAUGUUAGGGAUUGAUUCUACACUGCUCUGAAGUUUUGGAUUGGACUUUAAUGGGAACAGGAUCCAAUGUUCAUGACCUGAUCCAAAGCCCACUGAAAUCAGUGAAAAUACUCCUGUUAACUUUAACGGCCUUUGGAUCAAGCCCUUAUACAAUAUCACUGAAUUUUAUCCUAAUAUUCAGACUAAUUUUCCCUUUCUUUUUCUUAUCCUAUUAUACUUAUUUAUGUCCCCUUUUCCCAUGUUAAAUAAUAAUUUUCCAUUUUUGUUCACACUCUGCAGAUACCUGUAAAUCACAAAUGGUUGACAUUUCUUAGAGUUCUUAGGCAAAAAACAAGUAAAGU